GGAUCUGAGAGAAUCUGUGACAUCUGUCAGCCCAUUGAUCACCAGGGUUGAUUUGGCUGAUCUGGCUGGCUGAGGUGGGUGUCCUCUUCCUCCCUCACAGCUCCAUGUUCAUCCCUUCCAAAGCUGCAUGCUAUGUUGAAGAGGAGGACCUUCCCCAAUAAAGAAGGACCAUUCUUCAGUCAAGGGCAUAGGAGCAGCUGCGCUUGCCUGCUAGAACCUCCAAACAAGCUCUCAAGGUCCAUAUGUAGGAGAAGUUAGGGUAGUCAAGCUUCCCAUACUUCAAACACAUCCAAAUAAGGCCUGCAUGUGGCAGUCUGCCUUU
rnacentral:snRNA from 1 species